GACGAACGCUGGCGGCGUGCCUAGUACAUGCAAGUCGAGCGGACUUUUGGGAGCUUGCUCCCAAAAGUUAGCGGCGGACGGGUGAGUAACACGUGGGCAACCUGCCUAUAAGACUGGGAUAACUUCGGGAAACCGGAGCUAAUACCGGAUAAUUCCUUUCCUCUCAUGAGGGAAGGCUGAAAGACGGUUUCGGCUGUCACUUAUAGAUGGGCCCGCGGCGCAUGAGCUAGUUGGUGGGGUACCGGCUCACCAAGGCGACGAUGCGUAGCCGACCUGAUAGGGUGAGCGGCCACACUGGGACUGAGACACGGCACAGACUCCUACGGGAGGCAGCAGUAGGGAAUCUUCCGCAAUGGACGGAAGUCUGACGGAGCAACGCCGCGUGAGUGAUGAAGGUUUUCGGAUCGUAAAACUCUGUUGUUAGGGAAGAACAAGUACGAGAGUAACUGCUCGUACCUUGACGGUACCUAACCAGAAAGCCACGGCUAACUACGUGCCAGCCGCCGCCGUAA
rnacentral:rRNA from 1 species